rnacentral:rRNA from 1 species
AGAGUUUGAUCCUGGCUCAGGACGAACGCUGGCGGCGUGCCUAAUACAUGCAAGUCGAGCGAACUGAUGAGAAGCUUGCUUCUCUGACGUUAGCGGCGGACGGGUGAGUAACACGUGGGCAACCUGCCCUAUAGUUGGGGAUAACUCCGGGAAACCGGGGCUAAUACCGAAUGAUACAUUUUAACUCCUGUUGGAAUGUUGAAAGAUGGUUUACGCUAUCGCUAUAGGAUGGGCCCGCGGCGCAUUAGCUAGUUGGUGAGGUAACGGCUCACCAAGGCGACGAUGCGUAGCCGACCUGAGAGGGUGAUCGGCCACACUGGGACUGAGACACGGCCCAGACUCCUACGGGAGGCAGCAGUAGGGAAUCUUCCACAAUGGGCGAAAGCCUGAUGGAGCAACGCCGCGUGAGUGAAGAAGGUUUUCGGAUCGUAAAACUCUGUUGUAAGGGAAGAACAAGUACAGUAGUAACUGGCUGUACCUUGACGGUACCUUAUUAGAAAGCCACGGCUAACUACGUGCCAGCAGCCGCGGUAAUACGUAGGGGGCGAGCGUUGUUCGGAAUCAUUGGGCGUAAAGGGCGCGCAGGCGGCUUGGCAAGUCUGGUGUGAAAUUUCUGGGCCCAACCCAGUCAUGCGCCGGAAACUGCCUGGCUAGAGUACAGGAGGGGGCAUCGGAAUUCCAGGUGUAGGGGUGAAAUCUGUAGAUAUCUGGAAGAACACCGGUGGCGAAGGCGGAUGCCUGGCCAUGUACUGACGCUGAGGCGCGAAGGUGCGGGGAGCAAACAGGUUUAGAUACCCUGGUAGUCCGCACAGUAAACGAUGUGCACUGGGUGUCGGGAGCAAUCCCGGUACCGUAGCAAACGCGUUAAGUGCACCGCCUGGGGAGUAUGCUCGCAAGGGUGAAACUCAAAGGAAUUGACGGGGGCCCGCACAAGCGGUGGAGCAUGUGGUUUAAUUCGAUGAUACGCGAGGAACCUUACCAGGGCUUGACAUAUGCUGGAAUGACCUUGAAAGAGGUCAGCCCUUCGGGGCCGGCAUACAGGUGCUGCAUGGCUGUCGUCAGCUCGUGCUGUGAAGUGUGAGAUUAAGUUCUUUAACGAGCGCAACCCCUGCUGCCAGUUGCCACCAGGAAAGCUGGGCACUCAGGCGGGACCGCCGGCGACAAGCCGGAGGAAGGCGGGGACGACGUCAAGUCAUCAUGGCCCUUACGUCCUGGGCCACACACGUGCUACAAUGGCCGGUACAGAGGGAAGCUAAGCCGCGAGGCGGAGCGGAUCCCAGAAAGCCGGUCUCAGUACGGACUGGAGUCUGCAACUCGACUCCACGAAGUUGGAAUCGCUAGUAAUCGCAUAUCAGCAUGAUGCGGUGAAUACGUUCCCGGGCCUUGCACACACCGCCCGUCA